rnacentral:rRNA from 1 species
CCCUUAGAUGUUCUGGGCCGCACGCGCGCUACACUGAUGCAUUCAACGAGUUUCUUCCUGGUCCGAGAGGAAUGGGUAACCUUUUGAAAGUGCAUCGUGAUAGGGAUAGACUAUUGCAAUUAUUGGUCUUCAACGAGGAAUUCCUAGUAGACGUAGUUCAUCAGACUGCAUCGAUUACGUCCCUGCCCUUUGUACACACCGCCCGUCGCUCCAACCGAUUGAAUGCUCAGGUGAGCCAUUCGGACUUUCAUCAUGCUGGUUUCCAGUUUUGAUGAAGGAAAGUCUUGCGAACCUUAUCAUUUAGAGGAAGGAGAAGUCGUAACA